GGAACAGCAGAGGAAAAGAGAAGGGGAACAACAGCUGUGACUUGGGGCUGCCUGAACCCAGGAUCCAAAAUCACCGGUGAGGACGUAAAUCUGAUUUGGGAAUCUAUCGCAUCGGUGAUUCGGGAAACAAGAUGGUGGAACCAGUGCCAAGGCAGGAUUGGACUUCGGUGGUAGUUGUAAGGCUUGUGUCUAUGAGACACUAGGUUAUUGAUGGAUUUCACUGCUAUUAUUCAAUUAUUUCUAUUGAUGUAUAUAUUGAAGGUAUAUGUAAGAUUGUAAAUAUUACAUUUGUGGGUUAUUAACAAAUGAAUCUGGUAUUUUUUGUAAUUUAUCAUUUUAGUACAUCACCAGUGUUAUUUAUAUGAUUUUAUUAGCGUA